UGGCGUCGUGCAGCUGUUGUGUGUUGUAUCGUUGAUGGCUGGGCCGACCACUGGUGUACCGAUGUCUUCUUGGUAUGGUGGGUACAAAACCGCAACGCCGUCGCCUUACUACUCAAAAGCAACUUACGCAAGGACCAGUUACUGUACCGAGAUCUACAAGUAAUGUACUAUUAAGUCACCCGAGUUUUAUACCACAACUUACGCUGCCCCGAUCCACUACAGUGACGCCCUGAAGUAUUACUCUGCCCCGAGUUACUACACCACCAAGACGACGGAGCAGGACUACGCAUGCUGCCCCAUUCUACUACACCAAGGCUCCCAGCUGCUACACCAAGGCUCUCGCCGAUUACUCCACAGAAACGGUCGAGUACUACUCCGAAGCGGUUAAGUACUUCUCUGCCCCGAUCUACACAACCAUAACUG